rnacentral:rRNA from 1 species
UACGUAGGGUGCGAGCGUUGUCCGGAAUUAUUGGGCGUAAAGAGCUCGUAGGCGGUUUGUUGCGUCGGCCGUGAAAACUCAGGGCUUAACUCUGAGCUUGCGGUCGAUACGGGCAGACUUGAGUUCGGCAGGGGAGACUGGAAUUCCUGGUGUAGCGGUGAAAUGCGCAGAUAUCAGGAGGAACACCGGUGGCGAAGGCGGGUCUCUGGGCCGAUACUGACGCUGAGGAGCGAAAGCGUGGGGAGCGAACAGG